AGGAUAUUUUUUUUUUAAUUUGCAAUUAAAUUAAAUUGAUUGAAUUCAAUAUAUCUUA
rnacentral:tRNA from 1 species